UUACAUAAGUGGACAGCAUCUAAUAGCUGUAGAGGAAGAUGCAGAAGAUAUGAGAGAGAGACUGAGGAAGAGAAAGAGGAAAGAAGGUAAAAAGAGCAGGAAGCUAAGGAAGAAAAGAAGAAGCUAGAGAGCUAAAAGAGGGAUAAAAGAUAGGAGAGGAAUAUAUACUGGCCACAGUAGUUAGGGAACCUAGGAAGACAGUACCUGGCAACAGAAGAGAAUUCCUAGCUAAAGAUCAGUGUGCCUAUCGCAAGGAAAAAGGACACUGGGUGAGGGACUGCCCCAGGAAGAACAAGAGGGGCCUCUCCAGCAGCCCGGAAGGCAAGCCUCUUGGUCCUAGAGUGCUGGCUAUGCGCUAAGAUAGAAGGGAAGCCUGCCCAGUUGUUUUGUGAAUACGGGGGCCCAACACUCUGUGCUCCUACGCCCAAAUUGGCUAGUGUCCAGCAAAAGACCUUGAGUACAGGGGACUACUGGCAACAAAUGAUACUCAUGGACUACCCGAAGAACGGUGGACCUUGGCGUGGGCCAGGUAUCCCACUUGUUCCUUGUGAUCCCAGACUGCCCCUACGAGUCUAAACCCUGCAACCCUGCUCCUGGACCCUGACCUAGACAUCCCCCUUCAUGACUGCCAACAGGAGCUCACUAAAGCACAGGAGUGGCAUAAAGAUCGGACUGAUCAGCCAACAGAGGGGGUAGAUGCCAUCUGGUUCAUAGAUGGGAGCAGCUUCUUAGAGAAGGAAAAAAGAUGGGCUGGGGCAACAGUGGUAGAUGGAAACAGAAUCAUAUGGGCUCAGGCCCUACCAGAAGACACUUCUACUCAGAGGGUAGAGCUCGCUCCCCUCACCAAAGCCCUUGGGCUGAGAAAGGGACUUAACAUCUAUGUGGACAGCACGUAUGCCUUUGCUACAGCCCAUCAGCAGAGGAGCCUGCUGACAUCUGAGGGCAAGAAAAAAAGAGAUUCUGGCUAUGUUAAGGGCCCUCCAUGACCCAGCCAGGCCGAAGAAGAGACUCUGGUACACCUCAACGAGAAAGAAGAUCCUGCUACAAUUUUUACAGGCAGAGGCCAUGGUAAAACAAAUGCAUCAAUAGACUCACUUAGGGGUAAGCAAACUCAUCCAGACAUUUUCAAAAACUAAAUAUUAUGUCACAGGUCUCAAGUAUCUCGUGGAACAGAUAGUGCACUGAUGUAUACCAUGCCAAAAGGUAACUGUUUUCAGGAAAGUUGACUCCGUGGGGAACG
rnacentral:lncRNA from 1 species